GUGUAUACUCUGCACAUAGAAAGGAACACGAACAGGGAAGCUGAGAGGCAACAAGCCAGUGUGGGAGUUUGUAGCCCACACAUCUUGAUAAGGGUAGAGAAUUUAGCUACUCAGCAAGUCAUUGAAAGGCACUUGCAAGGACAGGACGGGUUCUAGUUAGAGAGCAGCAGGUUGAAAUACAAGAUCUGAGAAGUUGAAUAAUGAAUGCUAGGUGUGGCAAAGUCCAGAAGUGUGUAAAUGAAGCAGGUGGACAUAAAGUCUGACCAAACCAAUAAGGCGAAGGUUUGCAAUGGCCAUCAGAGAAGACAUGGAAAGACUCAGAAUCAUGGCUUGAAUGGAGUGGUGAGGAGAGUCAAACAUGGGGAGAUGAAUAGAAGUGAAGAAGGAGCAGAGGAAUGGCACACAGAGGUGACUGCAGGCAGAUGGAACAGCAAGGCAAGGUCACGGGCGCCCAGAGGAACAUGGCAGGUCUUAGAACUAUGAGUGCAAGCGUACCUGGGGGCACAGGGCAGAGGAAGAGACGGCCUGGGAGAGAAGGAGACUGCAGAGACGGGGACUUCCACUGUAUCACAGAGGAACUUGUGAAACUAUAUUUCUCAACAAUUUCUGAAGAUACCUUUAUUUUGAAUACAAAAAUUAGGAGUUGUACUCCCUGCACACAACAGAAGUUCUGGAAAAUAUAGUGGAAAAAAGAGAGAACAUUCAUGAAUAGAACUAAUCAGACUAAAGUACAAGAAUUUGUAAAAGUGUGAAUUCCACUUGGAAGUUAUAAAAGAAGACUUGUAUAAAUUAAUAAAUAUACCAUGUUUCUAAAAGAAAGAUAAAUAUCAUAAAUGUAUCAGUUCUCCAUAGUUAAUAUAUCAAGUCAAAAUACCAAUAGUAUUUUUCUUAUUAGUCACCUAAAAAGUUGUAAAAUCCAUCUAAAAUAAAUAUUUUUAAAAAAUGAGAAGCAACUCAUCCUAAAAUAUGUUAGUGUGUAGUACAAAGUUGAAAUGGUUUCAAUAGAGGAGUAGUUCAUAGAUUUUGGUGGAAGAGGGUGAUAUUCUAACACUAGAUCAUUUCCUUGACUAAAACUUUCUAUGCAUUUAACCUGGCACCACAAAUCAUAAAAAUACUUUGAUUUAUCAAAAUAUUCCUACUAACUGAGUAACAACAGGGAUUUAGGUCAAUUUAGAUUCAGGUGACACCAUUUACCCAUAUAAAUAAAGCCUUCCUGAACUACACCGUGAAAAUGUAGAAAGAAUUAUGGGUAUAUCAGAAAGUAUAACAAAAGAAAGCAGUAUAAAUAAAAUAAAAACUUUCAGAAGAAAGAGAAAAUGACAAUUUCUAAACCUGACUUAUAAUUUGAACCCUGUGUGGACUCAGCUCUCUCCAACCCUCCUUUGUGGGACCUGCUCCUUCACAGUUUUCCUCUUGUCCAAGAAGAUGAGCACCAUCAGCAAACCCUCCUGUGGACCCAGCUGCACUUGGCAACUUGUCAGUUGUCAAAUGUCACCUUGACAGUCCUCCUGGCCCUCAGGGCUUUGUGGAUUCCAGGUAAGAUGUGGUUUUCCCCAUUCUUUUUGUCUAGUUGACUUCUUCAAAACAUAGACCUCUCUCUGAUUUGACCCCUUUAAUUGAUCUGGGCUUCAGGCCAGCUCCCCAGUGCUUUCUGACUAACCCAGCAACUCAGGCCUUGGAAUCUACAGCAGGUAAGGCCCUAGGCAUGUACGCUAGAAAACGUGUUCACAGUCAGAGCUAAGCUGUAUACCCUCAAAAAUGUCCAUGUUGGAAUCCUGACACCCAGGAACCUCAGAAUGUCAUUUUAUUUGGGAAUAGGGAUGUUACAGAUAGAAUUUUUUAAGAUGAGAUCAUACUGGAUAAAGGUGAAUUUUAAUCUUAGCUUGGGCCACUGGAACACAUUAUCACAGAAUGAAUAGCGAUAUUUUUUUUUCUGAAGAAAAUAAAGUUUUAAUUUUAUUUUAAAAAGAUAUUAUACUACUGUCCCUUGAGUCUUUACUAUGUAGAGAUGAAUUAUAUUAAAUAGAUUUAUUUUCUUUUUUUUUUUAAUUUUUUUUAAUUUUUUAUUGUUGGCUGUUCAAAACAUUACAUAGUUCUUGAUAUAUCAUAUUUCACACUUUGAUUCAAGUGGGUUAUGAGCUCCCAUUUUUACCCCAUAUACAGAUUGCAGAAUUACAUCAGUUACACAUCCAUUGAUUUACAUAUUGCCAUACUACUGUCUGUUGUGUUCUGCUGCCUUUCCUAUCCUCUACUAGCCCCCCUCCCCUCCCCUCCCCUCCCCUCUUCUCUCUCUGCCCCCUCUACUGACAUUCAUUUGUCCCCCUUGUAUUAUUUUUCCCUUUCCCCUCACUUCCUCUUGUAUGUACUUUUGUAUAACUCUAAGGGUCUCCUUCCAUUUCCAUGCAAUUUCCCUUCUCUCUCCCUUUCCCUCCCACCUCUCAUCCCUGUUUAAUAUUAAUCUUCUUCUCAUGCUCUUCGACCCUACUCUGUUCUUAGUUACUCUCCUUAUAUCAAAGAAGACAUUUGGCAUUUGUGUUUUAGGGAUUGGCUAGCUUCACUUAGCAUAAUCUGCUCUAAUGCCAUCCAUUUCCCUGUAAAUUCUAUGAUUUUGUCAUUUUUUAAUGCAGAGUAAUACUCCAUUGUGUAUAAAUGCCAUAUUUUUUUUUAUCCAUUCAUCUAUUGAAGGGCAUCUAGGUUGGUUCCACAGUCUCGCUAUUGUGAAUUGUGCUGCUAUGAACAUCGAUGUAGCAGUGUCCCUGUAGCAUGCUCUUUUUAGGUCUUUAGGGAAUAGACCGAGAAGGGGAAUAGCUGGGUCAAAUGGUGGCUCCAUUCCCAGCUUUCCAAGAAAUCUCCAUACUGCUUUCCAAAUUGGCUGCACCAAUUUGCAGUCCCACCAGCAAUGUACAAGUGUACCCUUUUCCCCACAUCCUCGCCAGCACUUGUUGUUGUUUGACUUCAUAAUGGCUGCCAAUCUAACUGGAGUGAGAUGGUAUCUUAGGGUGAUUUCUCUCAGCUCUGGAGAUUGGAAAGUCCAAGAUCAAGUUGGCAGCGGGUCAGGUGUCUGGUAAUGGGCUGCUUCCUGCUUCACAAAUACUGGCUUUCCCUUUGUCUUCUCACUCAGAGGAGCACAAAGACAGGGAAAAGGCUCUUCUAACUCUCCUUACGAGGUUGCCAAUCCCAUUCAUAAGGGCUCCACCCAUAUAUCCUAAUUACUUCCCAAAAUAGGAGUGAGGGAGUUAGGAUUUCUAUGCACAUUCUGGAGUAGCACAGACAUUUAGGCCAUAUCAACACUUACCUAACAACAACAGUAAGAAUCACCACACAAUGAGAGAGGAGUACAGGGGAAGAGAACACUAUGGAUAUGCUUGGUGUCAUGCUGCCUGCAGCCAGCCACUAUCAGAAACUAGGAGAAACUUGGAACAAAUCCUUCCCCAGGGUUUCAGCAGAAUCAUGGCCCAAAUGACACAUGGAUUUCAAACUUUCUGACUUCCAGAAUUGUGACAUGAUAAGUUUUUAUUGUUUUAAGCCACCCAGUUCCAUAUCACCUUGUUGUGGAAGCCCUAGCAAACCCAAACUGGCUGAUAAUCAAUAUGUUCUUUUAUAGCCACCAGUUGUCCAGAUUAUUGAUUUUUCUGAUUGGUACAUAGAUGGUGCAUCACUAUUCUGAGUCCUCCAGACAACUCUGGCCUCCCUGCCCACUCAGACUCUUGGGAUGCCUGGACUUUGCCUAUGAUACAAAAUUAAAGCCAACUACAUCUUUAAAGCUACAACCACCUACUCAGACUGGAUUCCCUGUUUCCUGCAAGAAAGUUUGAAGAACAUACCCAUUCUCCUCAACCUACUGUUAUCUCACUGCUUCUUAUGAUCACACUAUUUUCACAUGGUAAAUAUUUACCACCUAGUUCUCCAGCGAAGAAGGCAAAUUAUUUGUUACAUUUGGAGACUGGGAAAUCUGUACCCCUUAGCCCUCUCUCCACCAUGUAAGCAAAUCCUCUGCCUGGUGAUCUGCUUUCUGGGUUUCAGGUGGCUGCCUAAUGAAAAACCGUCAUCCCUACAGGCCUAAAAUAAUACCGGUCGAGGGGGAACAAUUGCAAACUACAGUUUUAAUAUGGACCCUGACUUCCCAAGGAGAUUAUGUUUCAGAACCUGUAUUUGUGCAUUUCAGUUACCAUGGAUACAAGCAGCCAUGUGGGUAAGUAGCUAGCUGUUAGGUAGUAGUCAGAGGAGACCUAUGAUUACCCUAGAUCUCAGCUGAUUCAAGGAAUAAUAAGAUAUCCUCUAUCUGAUACUCAACUAUUCAAGGUAACAUCCAGAGUAGUUUACUUUAUUCCAAUAACACUAUUAAGUCACAUUUGUUGCAUUAAUGAAUGAAUUGUUUAUUUAAUGGAUAUGUACUGAGGGUCUGAGUGUGAGCGUAUGGUACACAAUCAGGAAGGGAUAUCAAAGUACACAAAACAAUCAGGAAGGGAAGUCAAAGUCAAAUAU